UAUGUAGGGGGCAAGCGUUAUCCGGAUUUACUGGGUGUAAAGGGAGCGUAGACGGUGAUGCAAGUCAGAAGUGAAAGCCCGGGGCUCAACCCCGGGGCUGCAUUGGAAACUGGCAGGCUGGAGUGCCGGAGAGGCAGGCGGAAUUCCUAGUGUAGCGGUGAAAUGCGUAGAUAUUAGGAAGAACACCAGUGGCGAAGGCGGAUGACUGGACGACAACUGACGGUGAGGCGCGAAAGCGUGGGGAGCAAACAGG
rnacentral:rRNA from 1 species